rnacentral:tRNA from 1 species
GGAUUAGUAGUCAAGUGGUAAGACACAACACUUUCAAUGUUGGGAUCAUCGGUUCGAAUCCGAUCUAGUCUA